GACGAACGCUGGCGGCGUGCUUAACACAUGCAAGUCGAACGGAAAGGCCCUGCUUUUGUGGGGUGCUCGAUUGGCGAACGGGUGAGUAACACGUGAGUAACCUGCCCUUGACUUUGUGAUAACUUCAGGAAACUGGGGCGAAUACCGGAUAUGAUCUCCUGCUGCGUGGUGGUGGUUGGAAAGUUUCGGCGGUUGUGGCUGGACUGGCGGCUUAUCAGCUUGUUGGUGAGGUAGUGGCUUACCAAGGGUUUGACGGGUAGCCGGCAUGAGAGGGUUGCCGGGCACAUUGGGACUGAGAUACGGACCAGUAUCCUACGGGAGGCAGCAGUGGGGAAUAUUGCACAAUGGGCGGAAGCCUGAUGCAGCAACGCCGCGUGCGGGAUGACGGCCUUCGGGUUGUAAACCGCUUUCGACUGUGACGAAGCGUGAGUGACGGUAAUGGGUAAAGAAGCACCGGCUAACUACGUG
rnacentral:rRNA from 1 species